rnacentral:rRNA from 1 species
AUUGAACGCUGGCGGCAUGCCUUACACAUGCAAGUCGAGCGGCAGCACGGGUGCUUGCACCUGGUGGCGAGUGGCGAACGGGUGAGUAAUACAUCGGAACAUGUCCUGUAGUGGGGGAUAGCCCGGCGAAAGCCGGAUUAAUACCGCAUACGAUCUACGGAGGAAAGCGGGGGACCUUCGGGCCUCGCGCUAUAGGGUUGGCCGAUGGCUGAUUAGCUAGUUGGUGGGGUAAAGGCCUACCAAGGCGACGAUCAGUAGCUGGUCUGAGAGGACGACCAGCCACACUGGGACUGAGACACGGCCCAGACUCCUACGGGAGGCAGCAGUGGGGAAUUUUGGACAAUGGGCGAAAGCCUGAUCCAGCAAUGCCGCGUGUGUGAAGAAGGCCUUCGGGUUGUAAAGCACUUUUGUCCGGAAAGAAAUCCUUGGCUCUAAUACAGUCGGGGGAUGACGGUACCGGAAGAAUAAGCACCGGCUAACUACGUG